AACGAACGCUGGCGGCGUGCUUAACACAUGCAAGUCGAACGAGAAUUUUCCCUUCGGGGAUUUAGUAAAGUGGCGCACGGGUGAGUAACACGUGGGUAACCUGCCUUUCAGUCUGGGAUAACUAUCCGAAAGGAUAGCUAAUACCGGAUGCGAUUUACGUUACAUAAGUAGUGUAGAAGAAAGUGGCGCAAGUCACGCUGAAAGAUGGGCCCGNGGUCCAUUAGCUUGUUGGUGAGGUAACGGCUCACCAAGGCCGCGAUGGAUAGCUGGUCUGAGAGGAUGAUCAGCCACACUGGAACUGAGACACGGUCCAGACUCCUACGGGAGGCAGCAGUGGGGAAUUUUGCGCAAUGGACGAAAGUCUGACGCAGCAACGCCGCGUGUGUGAUGAAGGCCCUAGGGUUGUAAAGCACUGUUGAGAGGGAAGAACAUACAAGGGUAACGCCUUGUCCUGACGGUACCUCUUUAGAAAGCACCGGCUAACUCCGUGCCAGCAGCCGACGG
rnacentral:rRNA from 1 species